rnacentral:rRNA from 1 species
GACGAACGCUGGCGGCGUGCUUAACACAUGCAAGUCGAACGGAAAGGCCCUGCUUUUGUGGGGUGCUCGAGUGGCGAACGGGUGAGUAACACGUGAGUAACCUGCCCUUGACUUUGGGAUAACUUCAGGAAACUGGGGCUAAUACCGGAUAGGAGCUCCUGCUGCAUGGUGGGGGUUGGAAAGUUUCGGCGGUUGGGGAUGGACUCGCGGCUUAUCAGCUUGUUGGUGGGGUAGUGGCUUACCAAGGCUUUGACGGGUAGCCGGCCUGAGAGGGUGACCGGCCACAUUGGGACUGAGAUACGGCCCAGAGUCCUACGGGAGGCAGCAGUGGGGAAUAUUGCACAAUGGGCGGAAGCCUGAUGCAGCAACGCCGCGUGCGGGAUGACGGCCUGCGGGUUGUAAACCGCUUUCGCCUGUGACGAAGCGUGAGUGACGGUAAUGGGUAAAGAAGCACCGGCUAACUACGUG